AGGGCAGUAUCUUUCGCAAGAAGAACUGCACCGAGGCCGACAGCACGAAUAGGUGAAGGAAAUGAUCUGCCUUGAUCCUUUUUUGAAGGACUAGGACAGAGGG
rfam:Geobacillus sp. CAMR12739 Contig46, whole genome shotgun sequence.